rnacentral:lncRNA from 1 species
ACCAGGCUUUGGUCCUUGGAUGAAAGCUGACUUUAUCCCAAGGUAACCCUGCCCAUCCCAAUACCUGACCCAAGCACUACCAAACCACAGUCCUUCCACCAAAUGCAUUAUCAACCAUCCCUUUCUCUUGUCCACCGGCUAAUCACCAAACCCCUUCUUCUUCGCAUAUCAAAGAAACCUUACAGAUUACAUUGCUAGAAUCCUCCCCCAACCGAUCGAAAGUUACAAAGUAGACAAAGGACAGCGGAGAUCGAGAUUGUUUUUUGUCUGCAAAGAGCAUUAAUGACGUUCCUACUAUUUUUAGAGAAAAGGAGUUCCUUGAAGAAAGUCAAUCAGAUUGUUUACCUAUUGAGGAAUCGUCGAGACAUGUGGCAAUCCUAAAGCCUCCUGUUGGCAGGUUGAGCUUUUAUAGUAAGGAAGAUUAGUUUACAUCUGCCUGUUGUUUGGUUUCUUUGCUUGUUUUCUUAUUUUUGUUUCAGAUCAAGGCCUUUCCAUUUGUGCUUCCCAUGUUUGCAUGUCGGCGUCUGGAGGUAGAGAUGGCUUGCUGCCAAAGAGCUUUCAUCUUCCUUACGCGGGCAUCGAUCUUCUGGAGGUGGCUUCCGUUGGCCCUAGCGGUGGAAACGAGAGGCGAUCUUGGACGUUUCCUAUUCCCUUUCUUCUAGCUUGUUUCAGAGUUGUAUGAACUUUUUACGCUGUUGUUCUCUGCAUGUGACCGAUCUCUUGCUCUCUCUUUCUUCAGUACGUGGUUUAAAGCCUCUGGCUAUUGUUGUGGGAGCUAACAGCGAUCGGAGCUGAUGGAGAUGAAGUGCGGCUCUUUCUGUAAUGUAAUCC